UCCAGGUGCCGCCCAGGGGGUUUUAGUUCAAGGUUUCUGGAUCCAACCUCAGACUAUCUCAUGUGCUGCAUGCUAGACGCGAGCAACUGGUCUCACGGCUUUAUUAUUUCGGACUUACAUUCGGAUGCUUGCGGACGGAGCUUACACUCCUGCGGUCACCUCCAGCCGCUCUUCCCAUGGCUUACUUCUGACUUUGGCCUCCGAUUAUGUAUGGCUGGAUGCACUCACCUACAAGUUACGCUGUCUAGGUUUCCGAAACUACAUCACAAACAUUGUGAAAUCUUACCUAACAGUUUUCCCCAACUUUCUCUCGCAUGCUGGGCAAAAUGGAUUGGUGGCUAACCUUAAACAAACAUGACAUGUUAAAAGACAAAGAUUCGAAUCGAAAAAUGGAAGAAAUUUACAACUAAUUAUGUUACUGACUCAGUGGAAGCUGAAGCUUCUCUGCUUAGGAAGAAACUACUCUGAGCUAGUUGCUGGUUGUCAUUGAAUAAGAGCACCUAUAUAGUGAAAAGAAAGUUCUGCCUUCAUAUUCUAGCUCAAGUUUUUUCAGAGCUAACAGAUAGGUUUCAGAACCGAUGUUUGGACAAGUCACUCUCUGGAUACUAGAUAUUCUCUUCGAAAAGGCAGAAUUCUCUCCAAGGCAGAUCAUAUCAUGUAGCUGGAAUUCAACGCAUGAAACUGUAGCUUCAAAAUCUGUUAAAGAACUAACUGCAAAGCUGACAAGUCAGCGAUUUCGAAUCUCUAAAACCAAUAUUGCUUGACUGGAAUUCUACAAACAAAUUAAUCAAAUUCAUUUCCCAGCCCAUAAAUUUUAAGGUUUUAUGUUUAACAUGACUUUUUUAUGAAGUAGAUUUGAGUGAUUUUAUUAGAUGAGGAGAUUAAUAAAAUAUAUCGAAUG